rnacentral:rRNA from 1 species
AGUGAACGCUGGCGGUAGGCCUAACACAUGCAAGUCGAACGGCAGCACAGUAAGAGCUUGCUCUUACGGGUGGCGAGUGGCGGACGGGUGAGGAAUACAUCGGAAUCUACUUUUUCGUGGGGGAUAACGUAGGGAAACUUACGCUAAUACAGCAUACGACCUACGGGUGAAAGCAGGGGAUCUUCGGACCUUGCGCGAUUGAAUGAGCCGAUGUCGGAUUAGCUAGUUGGCGGGGUAAAGGCCCACCAAGGCGACGAUCCGUAGCUGGUCUGAGAGGAUGAUCAGCCACACUGGAACUGAGACACGGUCCAGACUCCUACGGGAGGAAGCAGUGGGGAAUAUUGGACGAUGGGCGCAAGCCUGAUCCAGCCAUACCGCGUGGGUGAAGAAGGCCUUCGGGUUGUAAAGCCCUUUUGUUGGGAAAGAAAAGCAGCAGGUUAAUACCCCGCUGUUCUGACGGUACCCAAAGAAUAAGCACCGGCUAACUUCGUG